rnacentral:rRNA from 1 species
AGCAGCCGCGGUAAUACGGAGGGUGCGAGCGUUAAUCGGAAUUACUGGGCGUAAAGCGCAUGCAGGCGGCCUCGUUAAGUCAGAUGUGAAAGCCCGGGGCGUUAACCUCGGAAUUGCAUUUGAAACUGGCAGGCUAGAGUCUUGUAGAGGGGGGUAGGAAUUUCAGGUGUAGCGGUGAAAUGCGUAGAGAUCUGAAGGAAUACCAGUGGCGAAGGCGGCCCCCCUCGGACAAAGACUGACGCUCAGAUGCGAAAGCGUGGGGAGCAAACAGGAUUAGAUACCCCUGGUAG